rnacentral:rRNA from 1 species
GACGAACGCUGGCGGCGUGCUUAACACAUGCAAGUCGAACGGAAAGGCCCUGCUUUUGUGGGGUGCUCGAGUGGCGAACGGGUGAGUAACACGUGAGUAACCUGCCCUUGACUUUGGGAUAACUUCAGGAAACUGGGGCUAAUACCGGAUAGGAGCUCCUGCUGCAUGGUGGGGGUUGGAAAGUUUCGGCGGUUGGGGAUGGACUCGCGGCUUAUCAGCUUGUUGGUGGGGUAGUGGCUUACCAAGGCUUUGACGGGUAGCCGGCCUGAGAGGGUGACCGGCCAAAUUGGGACGGGGAAAGGGCCCAGACCCCUACGGGGGGCAGCGGGGGGGAAUUUGGCACAAGGGGGGGAAGCCUGAUGCAGAAACGCCGCGUGCGGGAUGACGGCCUUCGGGUUGUAAACCGCUUUCGCCUGGGACGAAGGGGGGGUGACGGUAAUGGGGAAAGAAGCACCGGCUAACUACGU